rnacentral:misc_RNA from 1 species
CAACCCUCAAGCAUUGCUUGGUAUUGGAUGCUACCAUUGUGGUGCAUCUUAAAAGUAUUGGCGGUAGCUCUUAGCUUCUAGCAUAGUAAUUUUCUUGCUUUGGAGUCUGAAUGUCUGGUUGCCAGAACCCCCAUAUCAUUAA